CAGCAGCCGCGGGAAUACAGAGGGUGCGAGCGUUAAUCGGAUUUACUGGGCGUAAAGCGUGCGUAGGCGGCUUCUUAAGUCGGAUGUGAAAUCCCUGAGCUUAACUUAGGAAUUGCAUUCGAUACUGGGAAGCUAGAGUAUGGGAGAGGAUGGUAGAAUUCCAGGUGUAGCGGUGAAAUGCGUAGAGAUCUGGAGGAAUACCGAUGGCGAAGGCAGCCAUCUGGCCUAAUACUGACGCUGAGGUACGAAAGCAUGGGGAGCAAACAGGAUUAGAUACCCCGGUAGUCCAUGUCUCUUAUAC
rnacentral:rRNA from 1 species